GACGAACCGUGCGAACGUUAUUCGGAAUCACUGGGCUUAAAGCGCGUGUAGGCGGGAGGGCACGUCGGUCGCUGAAAUCCCCCGGCUCAACCGGGGAACGGGCGCCGAUACGACCUUCCUGGAGGGACGUAGGGGGACCUGGAACUUCCGGUGGAGCGGUGAAAUGCGUUGAGAUCAGAAGGAACGCCCGUGGCGAAAGCGAGGUCCUGGACGUUUUCUGACGCUGAGACGCGAAAGCCAGGGGAGCGAACGGG
rnacentral:rRNA from 1 species